GAGAUAUUGCUGGAGAAAAAUAUGACACUCUUCUCUUUAUUAAGCACUUGACCAGUCCAAGCCUCAUAUUUGUGCAAAACCUCCAUCAAACCUCUCAUAGUUCUUUUCCCAUCAUUAGCAAAGAUAACUAUAUCAUCGGCAUACAUAAGAUGAGAGAUAAGGGGGGUCCCUCUAGCUUAAGCAAAUUGACCAAUUUUACCUUCUUCAAAGGAUUUCUUAAUGAGACGAGAGAGCACCUCUUGCAUUAUAAUGAAUAGGUAAGGUGAUAAGGGGUCAUCUUGCCUUAGAUUCCGCUCUCCUU